AGGUAAUCGGAUAAAACCUAUCUAUGCUUCAAUUAUUUACAUGAUUUAUUACUUGUAUUUAAUCAGGGGCGAAACAUCUCAGAGCACGCGUGUAACGAGGGCGAAACCACCCAGUUCCUCUUAUAUAGAGACAGAGGACCAGUCAACAGACAGACAGAACAGACGACAGUAGACGUGAUGAAGUCGGAGAAAAACUAGGCUGCCAGGGAGAACCAUCAACAAGGAAGUGUAAACAAAUGGUAAACAUUAAAAAUAUGUAGCCAUUUUGAGUUAAAGGCCUUUAUAAAGAACAUGAAUAAAAGUGUCUGACCAUGGACCCUGAGUACAACCUUCAGGAUGUGUUACGGUGUCAUCUCUGUGAGACCCCGGGCCCCCCUAUGUACUGUGUCAUUUGCAACAAAUAUCUGUGUAAAGCCUGCGAGAAGGACCAUUUAUCUGAUCAAUCCAAAGAACACAAAGUGGUACCAUUUAAAGAGAGGGGAUAUACUCCAAAGUGUCUAAAACAUUCCUCAGAAAUAUGUGAACUUUACUGUAAACAAUGUGGCAUUCCUAUUUGUGCAACAUGUCUUUCCUCUGAAGAACACAAUGGCCAUCAAUUUAUUGAAAUAACUAAAACCAUGGACAAGAAGAAAGAAAUAAUUCAAAAAGAUUUACAAGAACAAGAGAAAUCCAUUUAUCUUAAAUACCAAGAGAUUCCAUCCAUUAUCCCAGUCCAGAAAUCUGCUCUGAAUGAAAACUCCCAGAAAUUAACAACAGAAAUCGACAGACAUGGAGAAGUCUGGCACAGAGAA